CAUAAGGAGGAACAUAGAAGUACAUUUGAAAGCAGAAAAAACGGGCAUAAUACAAGAUGGGAGGAUAGAGCAAUCUAGUUCAGAGUGAAGACUGAAGAUACAGAGGAUUGUCUAUUAUUAUAAGACAUGGACUGAACACUAAUGACACAGAGGGUGUAGAAUCUGGACAAACUGCUCUAGCGGGACCUGCUCAGCGACCUGCAACCCAGUCUUUGCCUCUGGAUCGAGCCAUCUCCAGCAUGAGUCGCGCAGCCUCUGGGCAACCAGGCGGGGUGGGACCCUGACCCCCCCGACAGGACAAAGCCCAAGCCGCAGACACUGAAGGUUCCAACCAGUACCAUGUGGUGGUGAGAAGGAAAUGGAAGAGAAAUGGGGUCGAUCCACCCCACCUUUAUUCCCUCAGUCAGAGGCACAAGAUGAGCCAGGAUGCAUGCGCAGACCAGCGGACACUACUUUCAAAAUAUCUGGCUCCAGGCACAUGGUGCACAUGUGUAACUCACUGUGGAAUACAGUUGGGACUAUCACUCAAAGAAGAAAAUCAAUAAUGAAUUAAUCCUUUGAAUUAGCCUUUGCGCAUUACAGUCAUAACACCAGAAAACCUUUCCAUCCGUUGAGCAAUAUUUCACAAUUAUUACCCUCAAAGCCAGGCAUUAACCAUGAGCACAUAUUAAAGAUCGACAUGCUGGUUCAGCAAAAGUGUCUUAUCUAAACCAGGACACGUCCCAUUAUAUAAAAUACCAGUUUGGUACAAAUCCUCACAUCAAGAAAACAAACCAUGUAAAAUAUUCAUUUCUUAGGAAAAGACCUGAUUGUGAAAAGGAAUGUAGGGGGUUGUGUUUCAGAGCAAUAGAUCUAAGUGGUAAAGUAGGCUAUACCCCAUUUUUUCAAAGAAAAACCUCCACUUGUGGUCCUUAAAACUUUAGAGAAAAAUGUGUGUAGUUGGAAAUGUUUUAAACUUUUCUUAAAUGUUGAAAUGACAAACACCUUUGUGAAAUGCAGACUUUCAACUAUGUUAGUUAAAUGCAAAGCUCCUAAUAUAAUUCCUAAUAUCAUUGUCAAUGGUAAAAUGCUUUAUAUACCAACCUGAAAUCUAAGGACCUUGCUAAACUAAUUACUAAUACAGUAUAGAAUAUUUCUAAUAAUGGGGAACUAAUUAAAUUGGCAUGAUCAAACAACUCCCUCAACCAAUUCAGGAAGACAAGAAUCAUCAUCUCUCCAAAAGUUGUUAUGAAGAAUAAACAACUUCUUUAAUAACUAUUUAGACUAAACACAAUAAGAAUUCCUGAAUCUUGAAAAGACUGGUUUGAGAACUAAAAACUUUUACGUUUAAAUUUAGACUUAAGUACACUUUUCUUUUCAUUAUAGUUAAAAUUGUGUUCAGAAUUUCUGAAAUCAGAAUUUCAUUUCCUGUCAAAUGCCAAUAAAAUUGAAUGACUAUCUCACAUAAUGGACUAAAUAAAAAGAAAGUUAAAAUUAACGUUAAAAUUAUCUGAUGCUUUCUCCCCACAAAAACAACAAAACAACAACAACAACAAAAAACAAAGGUCAAUUAUAGUGUUGCAUGUUCAUUAGGCAGACUGCAUGAUCAGGAGCUGAAGGUUUCACCUAAGCCAAGCCCCCAGGGCAUGGAGUCAAUGAAAGAAUGAGAGCAACCAACUUUGAAUCUAUGCAAGUCUGAAAGAGGUGUGUUUUCAUAAAAUUCCCUAGAAACAGGAAGAAGGAUAUUAAAAAACUCUGAAGUGAGCCCCCCCCCAUCCAUCCUUCACCCAGCUAUCCUGCUUAAACAGCAUGCCCUCCACAACAUAUCCUGCCCAUCUAUACAAGCAAGCUACUGACAGAUGAAAAAAGAACGGAGAAGACUCAAGAGGAAACCAACCCAGGAAAAACCUCCCCAAUACUUCAACAUGGAUUGGUGAGAGAAAGUUAACUAAAACACUACCAAGGGAUUAGAAUUAAAAAAUCUUAUAAUAAUUUUGUUGAGAAAUGGAAAUGCGGCUGUAAUUUAGGACAAACAGAUUCUCCUGUUAAUCACCAAAUGGUUAGACCAGGGGUCGGCAACCUUCGGCACACGGCCCAUCAGGGUAAUCCACUGGUGGGCCGCAAGACAUUUUGUUUACUUUGACC